UACGUAGGCAGCGAGCGUUGUUCGGAGUUACUGGGCGUAAAGGGUGUGUAGGCGGUUGUUUAAGUUUGGUGUGAAAUCUCCCGGCUCAACUGGGAGGGGGCCAUCCAGACGGCGUGGCUUGAGGCUCGGAGGGGGGCGUGGAAUUCCGGGUGGAGCGGUGAAAUGCGUAGAGAUCCGGAGGAACACCGACGGCGAAGGCAGCGCCCUGGACGAGACCUGACGCUCAGGCACGAAAGCUGGGGGAGCAAACAGG
rnacentral:rRNA from 1 species